ACGGAAUGGAACCGAGCUCUGAG
rnacentral:rasiRNA from 1 species